GACGGGGGGGGCAAGUGUUCUUCGGAAUGACUGGGCGUAAAGGGCUCGUAGGCGGUGAAUCGGGUUGAAAGUGAAAGUCGCCAAAAAGUGGCGGAAUGCUCUCGAAACCCAUUCACUUGAGUGAGACAGAGGAGAGUGGAAUUUCGUGUGUAGGGGUGAAAUCCGUAAAUAUACGAAGGAACGCCAAAAGCGAAGGCAGCUCUCUGGGUCCCUACCGACGCUGGGGUGCGAAAGCAUGGGGAGCGAACAGG
rnacentral:rRNA from 1 species